rnacentral:SRP_RNA from 1 species
GCUGAGCCAAGUAACAUAGGCUUGUAACCCGAGUGGGAGCUCUAAGGUGAUGGAACGUUGAUUCAGCCUAGAAGGUUGGGUUCGGAUCAGCUUGAUUCUGGCUCGCCCGUUUCAAGCCAGGAGUCAAGCCAUGGCAUCCUAGUGAAGACAUGGGUGUCAUGGCUCCUAGAGUGGAGGGUAUAGCGUGAGGCUGGAUGACCUCCCUCUCCUGGCAGUGAAAGGAUAACGGGUCGGUGCUGUCUGGAUCCAUAUAGCUUGAUGGGCUGGUCUAAUGGGACCAUCACUUUU